rnacentral:rRNA from 1 species
AACUUAAGCAUAUCAAUAAGCGGAGGAAAAGAAACCAACAGGGAUUGCCUCAGUAACGGCGAGUGAAGCGGCAACAGCUCAAAUUUGAAAUCUGGCUCUUUCAGGGUCCGAGUUGUAAUUUGUAGAGGAUGCUUCGGGUACGGCUCCGGUCUAAGUUCCUUGGAACAGGACGUCACAGAGGGUGAGAAUCCCGUACGUGACCGGCCGCCACGCCCAUGUGAAGCUCCUUCGACGAGUCGAGUUGUUUGGGAAUGCAGCUCAAAAUGGGUGGUAAAUUUCAUCUAAAGCUAAAUAUUGGCCAGAGACCGAUAGCGCACAAGUAGAGUGAUCGAAAGAUGAAAAGCACUUUGGAAAGAGAGUUAAACAGUACGUGAAAUUGUUGAAAGGGAAGCGCUUGCAACCAGACUUGCCCGCGGGUGAUCAGCCGGUAUUUUUACCGGUGCACUCGCCCGUGGUCAGGCCAGCAUCGGUUUGGGCGGUUGGAUAAAGUCCCCCUGAAUGUAGCUCCUCUCGGGGAGUGUUAUAGCUGGGGGUGCAAUGCAACCCGCCCGGACCGAGGACCGCGCUUCGGCUAGGAUGCUGGCGUAAUGGUUGUAAGCGGCCCGUCUUGAAACACAGACC